rnacentral:tRNA from 1 species
ACGGGCGUCGGUUAAUGGUAAACCAGUGGACUCCAAAUCCACGACUCGGGGUUCAAGUCCCUGCGCCCGUG